UCACCGGCAGGAACACAACACUAUGAGUAUAGGGUCUAGUGCUAUUAUUUAUUUGGGGUAUUUUUUACAUAUCGAAUAUUAAUGGGGAAUAAAACAAUAUAUUUGUGGGAUAUUGUUAUGCCUCGAAUGAAAACCCAGCAAUAAACAACGAAUAACUUUUAAUUAAGCAGCAAAUAAGAAAUUAACAGAUUUUACUAAAUUCUUUCACGUUCGAUCGCUCAUCGUUCAAAACUGUUCUCCCAUCGCCUUUCACACCUACUGUCAUUCUACUAUCAUACAACGUUCUGUUUCACGCCAUCACCUUACGUUCCGAUCCCACAUUCUCGGCUGUCCUGCUCUCAUAUCUGCCCUCAGAUGGGCAUUUCUCAGUGUUUAAAUUUUUUUGUUUUCGAUGGCAACAGUUUUACAUGAAUCCUGUAAGAGUCACAUGAAAUCCUGUCAAUUUAAAUAGAAGUCGCGGAUUUGUACCAGAAACAAAGAAAACUCAUGGUUCGGGUACUAAUGCUGCCACCGAAAUCAAAAAAGUUGAAACACUCUGAGAAAUGCCCAGAUAUACUUCAACGUUCAUUCAUCUAACUACAUCUCAUUCAUUCAACAUUACAUUUCAACAUAAAUUGAAAAACAUCCGACAAUAUAAGCAUUAGAUAUAAAAACAAUAACUGUAACAACUUUUAGCAUUUUACAACACAACAACAUUUUAAAUAUUCACCAAACUUACUAAACUUAAUAAAGUAACAAAUCAAGUUAACUUUUAGGCACCAAGAAUUUCUUACACGAGAUAAAGUUUCAUCUUCACAGUACUUCUGAAAGCUCUUUUCUUUAAUGCUUUACCUCGGGCAAAGGUAAUAUGUAUAGGGUCACCAAACGUCUGCCGCUGCAACUGCCACUUGCUAAUCACCUCUGCUCUAGAUGUCGACUUCAUCGGGUAGGGCCACACACACUUGGUGAACGCAUCAACAACUGUAAUUGUGUGAUCGUAGGGCUUCUUCGUCUCAGUGAAUGCCCUUUUCCUCAUUCUCAUAGCAAAAUGACCAUUACUAUGCACCUUAUAUGCAACUUCCUUCCCCAUUACCUUAGGCACCACCGUUUGCUGUUGGUCUCCUUUGUUUGGCAUGCCAUUUUCCAAACACAAGUCAUUAUAGUCACCAUCUUUCAAAACUUAAUUAUUAAUUAAGUAAUUUAUCUAUGCCUAUAUUUGACAUCUUAGCUGUGUAAUUUAUAAAAUGUAAUAAAUUGACUCAAUCCUUGUGUAUAUUUGUAAUGAAUUAUUGUGUAACAAAUUAUAUUGACAUUUUAUUGUACAUACUUUAAAUAAUUGUUAAAUAUUGCAUGCCUUGCUUGGUAGAACAUAAGAACUGCUUUUCAAUGUUAUCAUCUUAUGUAAUCUCACUAUGUUCUUGCAAUAAACGAUUGACUAUUGGCUAUAAAAUCAGCUGUUUAGUCGCAUUGAGCUCUUCAUUUCGCCACAGGGAUAAUUAUCAUCUUUCAGAGUGAUCUUGAGCUCGAUCGGCGCUUCCUUAGUCUGCAUACUCGACAACCAAAUGCUCGACGUUUUCCUAACAGUACCAUCGCGAUCAGAAACAGUGAAGUUCUCACUCACGCAAUCCACUUUAAAUUCGUCGAAAGAGUUUUUGUUGAUUAGGUUAUAUCCACUGCCAGAGUCUAUUAACGCCUGCGUUUCUACGUCACAUAAACUUUAAAGGUUUUAGUAGUUUUCGUCUUCAUAUCAUCUACAUUAUCGUAUUAAGUAUUUUGUUGCAAUGUUUACAUCGUGCCGACAACUGUUUCCGCCAUGUUGACAGCUGUCUCGUCAUUGGCCAAUAUUCCAAUCAUGACCGCUUGUCGACGAAUAUCUGUCGCCGCGGACUGCUUUACCGAUGGAGCCGCUUGCUAAUUCGCCUUUUCUCCCGAGCCAUAGGUGCAACACUGCUUUACCGACGGAUCUGCGCAACCAGCAUGGUCGCGCGAUAGACGAUAAAAUAUCAGGCCGUCCCUAUCGCACUUA